UACGGAGGGAGCUAGCGUUGUUCGGAUUUACUGGGGGUAAAGGGCGCGUAGGCGGCGGGUUAAGUCAGCUGUGAAAUCUCCAAGCUCAACUUGGAACGGCCAGCUGAUACUGAUGUGCUAGAGUGCAGAAGGGGCAAUCGGAAUUCUUGGUGUAGCGGUGAAAUGCGUAGAUAUCAAGAGGAACACCUGAGGUGAAGACGGGUUGCUGGGCCAACACUGACGCUGAGGCGCGAAAGCCAGGGGAGCAAACGGG
rnacentral:rRNA from 1 species